CCCAGGAACCCGGAGUGGGACUUGAACCCAGAGCCCUGUCAUGGGACUUGGAGCCAGAGCCCUUCAUGUGAUUUGAACCUGGAGCCUGGAACCCUGUCAUGUGAUUCGAACCCGGAGCCCGGAACCCUGUCAUGUGAUUCGAACCCAGGAGUGGGAUUCGGAGCCCAGGAGCCCGUCAUGUGUCUUGAACCCGGGUCGCCGGGUCGAUUCGAACCCGGAGCCAGGAAGAACAUCAUGUGAUUCGAACCCGGGAGCCUGGAGUGGGAUUCGGACCCAGAGUCCGGGAGCCUGGAAUAGGACUUGAACCCAGGACCAGGGAGCCCAUCAUGUGAUUUGAACCCGGGACACAGGACACAGGAGCCUGUCAUGGGACUUGAACCCAGGACCAGGGAGCUCAUCAUGUGAUUUGAACCCGGGACAUGGGACACAGGAGCCUGUCAUGGGACUUGAACCCAGGACCAGGGAGCCCAUCAUGUGAUUUGAACCCGGGACACGGGACACAGGAGCCCGUCAUGUGAUUCGAACCCGGGACAUGGGACACAGGAGCCUGUCAUGGGACUUGAACCCGCGAUCCGGCAGCCCGUCACGUGACUCGAACCCGCAAACCGUCCGAUGUCAUGUGACUCGAACCCGGGACCAGGGACCUACAAGCCCGUCACGUGACUCGAACCCGCAACCCGCCCGAUGUCACGUGACUCGAACCCACAAAUGUCUGCAGAUCCUCUACCAAUCCUGUCCCAAGUCCAAGUUCCUUUCCUGCCCCUCCUGCCAACGGGAAACCGUCCUCUUCCCCGACUACCGAUUGGCCGCCCUGGCCGUCAACACCCGCCUCCUGGCCCGCCUCCCCCCGGCCAAGCCGGCCAAUCGCAACCCGCCCCCCUGGGGCGCCGGCCAAUCGGAGAGAGGCUGCUCCCAGAGCUUCCGGCAGUAUUGCGGGGCGGCGUGUAAUUGCCGGGUGAGGAAGCCGGUGGGGGCCUGCGUCGUCAUGUGACGCGGAGUCGAACCCGGAGCCGGGACCCCGUCAUGUGAUUCUGUCCCAGGAGCCUGUCUUGAACCCAGGACCAGGGAGCCCAAUGUGUGAUUCGAACCCAGGACACGGGAGCCAGGAGUGGGAUUCGGACCCAGAGUCCGGGAGCCUGGAAUGGGACUUGAACCCGGAGCCCGGGAGGCCGUCAUGUGACCCUGUCCUGGGACUUGAAACCAAGGACCUUUGAUUUGAACCCGAGACCCAGGAACCCGGAGUGGGAUUCGGAGCCUGGAAUGGGAUUUGAACCCAGAGCCCAGUAGCCCGUCAUGUGAGUUGAAACCGGAGCCCUGUCAUGUGACUCGAACCCGGAGCCGGGAGGACGGAGUGGGAGUCGAACCCGGAGCCGGGAGGACGGAGUGGGAGUCGAACCCGGAGCCGGGAGGACGGAGUGGCCCGGGACCCCGUCAUGUGACUUGAACCCAGAGCCCUGUCAUGGGACUUGAACCCAGGACCAGGGAGCCCAUCGUGUGAUUCGAACACGGGACACAGGAGCCUGUCAUGUGAUUCGAACCCAGGACACGGGACACAGGAGCCUGUCAUGGGACUUGAACCCAGGCCCUGGGAGCCGGUCCUUUGAUUUGAACCCGAGACCCAGGAGCCAGGAGUGGGAUUUGGAGCCAGAGCCCAGAAGCCCGUCAUGUGAUUUGAACCCGGAGCCUGCAACCCUGUCAUGUGAUUCGAACCCAGGACACGGGAGCCAGGAGUGGGAUUCGGAGCCCGUCAUGUGUCUUGAACCCGCAACCCGUCCGAUGUCGUGCGCCGUCACGCGACUCGAACCCGGGACCCGGGACCUACCAGCCCGUCACGUGACUCGAACCCGCAAC